ACGUCCUCCUAAACUAGGGGGGCCUAGGUCCCCCAUAAGAGGCAAAAGGAGAGUCCCUAAAGAGGCUGGAGCUCCAGCUUAAAGAGGCGGCUCAAAUGGCCAAGUCGCCCCUAGAAUCCUGAGUAGGGUUAGAAGCCAGUGUAGCAAGGGGAGUCCAAACUGGCUGAGUGGGCCCCGAGAAGCCCGAGGGGCCAUGUCCCCGGGAGCUGAGGAGGGGGCCAACCUCACCCGAAAUCGUCGUCCAUAGACUUGAAGAAGAACUUAUAGCUGGGUCGCUGCAGAACGCCCUUAAAGUCCGCCAAGGUGACGCGCUCGGCGGGCAGGGGCAGCUUCACCAGGGGACUGUUUCUCUGGCCACCCACCUUUGAAGUCAUCCAUUUGUGGGGAGCCUGCUCGGCUGUCCAGCUCCUCAGCAUCCAUACUCUGCUCACUUUCAGUUUCACUCUCUUCUUCCACAUUGAUCGUGAGUCCUGGGAACCCAUUAAGGAUGAGAAACAAGAAAAGUAAAGGAAGAGCCACUGACACAGAGUAAUCUCUCUACCCUGUCUGAAUGAAUAAAGUAAUAAACCAGUAGUCUGA